rnacentral:lncRNA from 1 species
AUGGGCGCCUAGGGACCACCUUGAGCAGGACUCAGGAUGAUGCUCAUUUUACAGGAGUUUGGAUGCUUAAUCUCUGCUGAGACCCAGUGCCUUGCACUGAAGGUGCUCAGGAAAUACUUUCUGAAUGAUAAGAAGCCCCUGCCAUCUGCUAAACUGGAUCUAUGAUGACAGAAGCCGAGGAAUGUGAGGUUCAUCUAGAGAGUUCUUGUGAAUUUUCCAAGGGAGGCACCUGUUGAACUCAGGCAUCGGCAUGUGAAUUGAUUUGGUCAAUGAAAUGUGAGAGAAGUGACAUCCACUUUGAGACAGGCAGUUUCCGAAUGCCAUCAAGCUGAGAUGUGAAGCGGAAGUGAGGCAGAGGCUCCCUUCCUUUUGUUUGGCGCAGUUUUCUGUGAGAGAGCAGAGGUGGGAGAUGAGGGGACCUCUGCCCCAGUGUUUCUGCAUCCAAGCUCCAGCCUUGUUGAAGGUUGCCCUGACAGCCACUCUCCAUACUGCUGCCAGAAGAACCUUGAAAUAUCGCUCUUUUUAAUUAAAAAGCAAAACUCUUC